UGAGAAUCUAAUGCCUUUGCUGAUCUGACA
rnacentral:piRNA from 1 species